rnacentral:lncRNA from 1 species
UUAAAACUGCAGUUUGCAGAUUUUGAUUCUAUAGCUCUCGAAAACCUCCCGUAACUCGCUUUUAAUUAUUUUAACACCUUCGGACUUUCCGAAGUGUUCCAUCCUCGCACUUCGGUCAAUUUGACUAAAGUUCGAUAUUUAUUUUCCGAAUUUUCGGUAUAUUACAGUUAUUCAACAUAAAUCUCUUCAUUUAUAAAUCCAUUUAAAAACGAACUUUUUACAUUCAUUUGAAAUAACUUUAUAUUUUUAAAAAAAGUAAAAGUGAGUAAAAUUCGAAUAGUUUCAAAUCGAC